UAGAGUUUUGAACCUGGCUCAGAUUGAACGCUGGCGGCAGGCCUAACACAUGCAAGUCGAACGGUAGCACAGAGAGCUUGCUCUCGGGUGACGAGUGGCGGACGGGUGAGUAAUGUCUGGGAAACUGCCCGAUGGAGGGGGAUAACUACUGGAAACGGUAGCUAAUACCGCAUAACGUCUUCGGACCAAAGUGGGGGACCUUCGGGCCUCACACCAUCGGAUGUGCCCAGAUGGGAUUAGCUAGUAGGUGGGGUAAUGGCUCACCUAGGCGACGAUCCCUAGCUGGUCUGAGAGGAUGACCAGCCACACUGGAACUGAGACACGGUCCAGACUCCUACGGGAGGCAGCAGUGGGGAAUAUUGCACAAUGGGCGCAAGCCUGAUGCAGCCAUGCCGCGUGUAUGAAGAAGGCCUUCGGGUUGUAAAGUACUUUCAGCGGGGAGGAAGGCGAUGGGAGU
rnacentral:rRNA from 1 species